UUUCAGAAUUUGAAGAAAUAUAUUAUCUAUAGGCAGGAGUUAUUUAAAGCCACAGAAUAAAACCAAGUAAUUCUAAAAAUUUUAUAUUUAUAGAACUAGAUACUAUAGUGUCUGUGACUUGUAGACAAAAAUUGUAUUUAAUCUCAACCAUAAUCAAAGUUACAGAUAAUGAAAGAAAGACCAUCCAAACAUAUAUGAGGAAAGCAGAAGAUAGAAAAAAAUGAAAUACAAAGAUAGACUAGGCUAGACUUAAUAUAGACCUUUUACCAUUACCCUCUUUACCAUUAUUUUCUAGACAAAUGAAAUAAGCUCUUUAGAUUUCCAUAUAACCUUUCUCUUCAGUAUGCUAUACAACUAUACUUUUAUUCGUUCAAAUGGAAAUAUGUAUAUUUACAUGUAUUUUUCUAGAUAAAUUGCAUAGACCAUCUCUCUUUAGGUUUAGAUUUAAUAUUUCAGAUUUCAGAAGAGCACUUGAUGCAAUUACACAACCAUCAACCUUAUAACCUAGGUGAAGAACUACUAAAGUAUUAAAGAAAAGUUGGGGGAGCAGGACGGGAAUAGGGGAAGGAACCUACCUACAAGGCAGGUUCCUAAAGCAGUUCCUUAAGGACUGUUUAAGUACAGUAUUAUUUAUGUGAUGUUGGCAGAAAAAGUCUGACACCAGGUAAGGAGCCACCAUAAAUGCAGAGGAGGCUUGGUACAUGAAGAAUAGAUGACCUCUGGGACUGGAAUAAUAGAAAUUGGAUAAACUCAGUAGCAAAAAAAAAAAAAAAAAAAGGUCUUGGAUAUUAACACAAAUAAAAGGAAUUUAUUCUGUAAGUUAACAAAUCACCAGCUGCUAAAGACACAGUGCACUAUUCAAUAACAUAAUAAGUAAGACAAUUAGUGUGAUGUGAAAUGGAAAAGGUAAAUUAGUCCUAAUGUUUAUCUGGAAAAAUGUUUCCAGAGCAUGUAUCCUACAAGCAGAGAUGAUAAUAAUGUGUACUGAGUGAGGAAUAGUUACAUGGGACUUGGCUUCACUAAGUCCAAAUGAACACAUACACAUGCAAUGAGAUGCUUCUGAAAAUAUUUUCUUUUGUUUCUGCAAGUACAAAAAUCCAUGGAGAAAGGCAAAGAGCUGCAAACUGUGCUCUAAUUGCCACAGAGGCAAUAAAAUAUGUGGAAACUCAUAAAACUGCUAAUGGUUUUGAUCUUCAUAUGGCUUAGUACCAUGUAUGAAAGCUCUGAGAAGAUACAUUUGUUCUGAUAUUUACAAAUGGAAUGCUGUAACCAUACAAAGCUAUGGAGAACAUUCAUUCAUUAGUUCAGUUUUGAUCUAAUUUUCUACGGAGCAAGAUAACAUCUCCCACAAAAAGCUCUAAGGCACCACCCAAAAUUAAUUGUUCUCAGUUCUUAAGAAAAGCCUUUUAUCAGUUCCAGCAGCACUAGAAUUUGGAUGUCUAUUGAUAACUAGUGAUCAACCAUCAUGACACUGAAAGAGGGAAAGAAGGCAAGCUGUUUAUAAAGUCUUCAAAAUAAGAUGGUCAGACCUUCAAGAAAAUGGGAAAGCUGAUUCAAGGUCUAAAUAAGGAAAGGUAAAGAAAGUGUAGCAAAGUAACAAAAAUCCAGGGAAGUCAGAACACCUACAGGUUGCUCUUUAUGAUUCUUUAAUGAUCUAGCAGAUGGGACAUCAGGAUGACCGUACUGGGAAAAGGCCAUCUAAGCCUGCAGACGGCCUGAAUCUGUCUUUACUACUAAUGGAAGUGUCGUUCCAGGAGAGUGUUUGUGCAGAGAGGCAGUGUAAUACUGCCUCAGAUAAUUGCCAUUCUACCAUUUUUCUAUUCACAUUCCAGGACUGGUCACCAGGGCACAAGCUGUUCUUGGCUACGUGGCCCAUACCAUUGCAUACUGACACAUGCCAGUUCAAAUUCACACAAGGAAAUCUUUGUGGUUAGAACCUGAACGCCUGUGGAUUAACCUACCACUGCAUUUAAAUCACUGAAAAUCAAAACCCUACUCCUCAUGCCUGUGGGAAGGGAAUAACAUACAUCUUGAUUUGGUUGCCUUUGUAAUAAGUAUAAUUCCUUGCAGGCUUACAAAGAAAAACAGUCACCUAAUAAUCUCGCAGAUUAAAAACAGAAGCCUAUGCUAAUGAGCUAGGAGAGCCAAAUUCUACUUCCAUUUUUAACUGUGCCUCACUUAAUGACUUCAGAAUGCAGCUCAAGGUCUGAUUCAUCUCACCUAAUUUAACCAUCUCAGGCAUCUAUUUUACAAUAGCUAACUAGACUCAAAAGUAAAUAGAGAAAAAUGAAAAGAACCUUCUAAGAUAGUAUCUAAAAUAGGUGUGGUAGACAUGCAUCUCUCUUUCUGCUACUAAGUGGGAUUAGAUGGGUCAAAUGGAUCAGAUGCCUUUUAUUUUGUGUUUACCAGCUUACUCUCAGUCUAGAGUUUUUCAGUAGUCAGUAGAACAAGAUACCCAUCUUCAGUGUAUGAUUCAUCACACGUUUCUCCAAAACUUAUUUUGGAAUGGGAUAAAUCCCUUCUGAAGUUGCCUCUGCAUCUCUGCUGACUAAAAGAAACAACAUGGAAUAGAAUCCCAUCAAAAGUCACUCAAGGAUAAAUGGAUAGGAUAAAUACCAGCUGCAGACAACACGUCUAUUGCAAUUGGUGAAGUGAGAAAACUAAAUCCUGACAAAAUGAAUGCAUUAUUUUUCUGCCAGUUGUUUUUUUUUUUGUUUUUGUUUGUUUGUUUGUUUUGUUUGUUUGUUUUUUUCCUAUUUUUUUUUUAGUCACAGAUAUACAAGUGAAUUAAAAGGUUACAAACUGAAUCAAAGAGGCAACAUUUGACUCUGCUAGCAUGGCUAUAAUGGAUCUCUAGGGGAUAUUAUUCCCUUCAGCUGCCAAAUUUUGAAGAAAUGUCUCCCAGAUUUGAAGAACAGGCCGUGGAUUUUGAAAAUGGGGAUUGAUUGCAUCUUGUGGAAACAAAAGUUCCUGGAUCUACCCAGAGAGAAAACUUCACAUCUUUCUAGAGAGAAAACCUGACUGUCUAGAACAGCACCUUUGUUGUCAAUUACCAGUUUAUAAAGCACUGCUGAAUACUGUAUUUCUGUACAAAUGAGAAUAACAUACACUACCCAUAACUAAAAUAGCAUUUAAAAAACUAUCAGUCUUCAAAAUCCAAAGCUUAAUUUAAACAUUAGAAGUCAGGAAGAAACUGGGCAGCUUGGGUUUUAAAAAUUAUCUAGUAUACCAGUUCCGUACAUCUUCCAAGUUAAUUCCUGGACCCUAUGUAAGGCAUGGGUUCAGCAUUAGAGUCUUUAAUUCUAUGCCAUAGAGAUGGAGAAGAAUUUCUGCUGUUCUCUACCUGCUCAUGCAUCACGACUAUCACAAGACAUGACUGAAUUGAUUUCCUCUGCACUGUCAGGCUUCCCUGAACAAAUAGAGAAUAUUUCCAUACUAUAAUUAUUCACACUGGACUUUAACCAUGAAAUCAGAUUUAGAAAUAAUCAUAUAAUUCUUAUUAAAUUACAAACACUGUUACCUAAGGUAACAAUAGUGUAACACAACAUACUUUAUAGGAGCUGAUGGACCUACUAACUUAUGCACAGUCCUAUGCUGUUUCACAGAAUCACAGAAUGGCUGAGGUUGGCAACCUGGUCGGUUUUGAAUAUCUCCUGAGAAGGAGACUCCACAACCUCUCUGGCCAACCUGUUCCAGUGCUUUGUCACCCUCAGUGUAAAGAAAUUCCCUCUCAUAUUCAGCUGGAAUCAGUUUCUAGUCAUUAUAUUAACAUCUAAACUAACAGUCCACACAAAAAUGAAUAAAAUAAAAUAAAAUAAAAUAAAAUAAAAUAAAAUAAUAAAAUAAAUAAAACAAAAUAAAAUAAAAGAGACCACCAAAUCAUCAAUGUUCAUCUCCAAAUAGCAAUGAAGACAAAACAGUAAUAAACUGAAUCUGACAAAGCCAGAAAAGAGAACGUCAGGGGUUCACAUUUUCUUGUCAAACAAACCUCUCCAAUAGUCUUGCAUUACUCCACUACUGAAAGGCACUCCCAAGCACAUUUAGCAUGAAUUUGAGCCACCUUCUGCAGUAUAUUUGCAGGAGAAUCAGGAAUUAAACCUAAAUAUCCUACAUGUUUUUAUGUUUUUCCGUUUCUUGUGCUCAGUGUUUGAGAGACCUCUUUCACUAGAUCAGAUUCACUAGUUUACCUGAUCUAGUGCAAGAUAUUCCUGCCCAUGGCAGUGGGGUUGGGCUAAAUGGUCUUUAAACCAUUGGUCUUCCAACCCAAACCAUCCUGUGAUUCUAUGAUUAAUCUUUAAAAAAAAGGGGGGAGAGGGGAGAGGAGGGGACACCACCUUAAGAUUUUUAACUACAGCUGUGAAACAGGGUAGACCAGCUUUAAUUAUUGUUUGUAUUUCUACAAUCUUCUAUCUUUUUCAUCUCUGUAGACCUUGUAUAUAGUUCUUGUUGUGAUGAUUUUGAAUCUUUGUUUUCCCCAAGAUGAGACUUAAUAUAACUUUAAGGAAGUAAAAUAGUGCACAUUCCUUUACAAAGAUUUCAUCUUUCCAGAUGGUGAAAUCAUGGCUUCUGGAGAGCAGACAGUGUAAGUGUAUAAUGCUAGAUCUAAUGGAAAAAGCAUCUCUCACUAUACCAAUUUUCUCUGUGCAAGUUUUCUACUAUCAAAGAUUUUAAUGGAUAGGACAUGAUCUGAUCAAACAGAACAAGCAGGACUGGUCAUUUUUGGAAGAGACUGGGUCUGCACAUUUUAAAACUGUCAAUCACACAUACCCCUUUUUCCUUUACACUCUGCACAAUUUCUUUUUACAAAUAAAUAGAAGACUGUUCUGGAACCUUGUAAGGCUGCAACAAAUUUAAAUAAUUACACUGCAGUUUGAUUUUACUAAAUACCCAGUGACCUAAUUGCUGGCUGAUAUUGGUCUCUGAUGAAAAGCUAGGUAUUUUGUCUUGUGAUGGAAUUUGCUUAUUUCUUUAUAUUAUUAAUGAGGUAACACUGCCAACUUAGCUAACUUGUACUUCACACUUACAAUGCAAUUUCCAAACACUCAUUUCCAGCUUACUUAAAUUUAAAAAACUGUACUAGCAAAGUGACCUGUUGUCGGCUGUCAACUACAAAUGCCUUUAUUCUAACUUGGCUUUAGAAUCUGUGCAUGAAAAAAAUGUUAUAGUUGUGUGCAGUGUAGAUUAACAUUUAGAAAACCAGCCCUGGGAAGCAGGGCUUGUAGAUUUUGCUUCUCCUACUUCUUUUCUCGUAAUCUGCCAAAUGGCUGGUUUCACAAAUUUGCAACAGUUACUUAUGGAUUUUCUUUUGGAUCUGCUUUCUAGCAGAAUUCCCAGGGAUUGCACUAGAAGUUCUGGAAAAUUAUAACUCAUGAACACUCAAACACUGACCCACUCCCCCUACUCAGCAUCCCAGGUCUCCAGAGACUGCAAGGGAGGUGUAUAUCUUGCCACCUUCAUGUAGGUAAUGCUAGUUAGAGUGACAGAGUAUUAUAAUCUAAUAAUUAGAUUUAAUCUAAUUAGAUUUAAUUAGAUUAAUUAAUCUAAUCUAAGUAAUCUAAUUGUGAUAGAAACAUUUCUAGAAUCAGAAAGUAUUUUGCGGAAAUACAAUUGCGAUAAAUAUAAUUAAUAAUUGUGAGUAUGCAGUAAGCUCUUUUUUGUUUUUGUUUAUUUUGUUAUUGUCUACAGUAAAUCCUGUUAUAUAAGUAGUAUCCAGAAGACGCCCAUGCAAUGGAAGUUGCCUGGACUUUUACAUUCAGUUUAACUGAAAAUGAAAUCCUUAAAUACCAAAUGACUGUACUUCAAAGAAAUAAUUUGUUGUGGGAAGAAAAAUUAUGUCCUGCUUUUUAUGGUGUGACGGCAUUGAAUUCUGCAUCCAUUAAUAAUUAAAUUCCUAGGGAGGGAGGAUGAAAAGACAGCAUCAAUUCACAUUUGUCAUAUUCCUAUCCUUCCCCAUAUGCUCUGAGUUAAGUUCAACAUGUCCAUGGGCAGAUUGCAUAACAGAAUGCAGAAAUAUUAGAACUGUAUUCAUUCAUCCAGCAUAAAAAAAGAAAAAAGUAAAAAAGAAAAAAAAAAAACAGCACUCUGAAACAACAUGAGAAAAACUGUGAAAUUGUAUCUGUUUGAUUUUUUUAUUUAAAAUCCUUUCUAUUUACAUAUUCUUUGAUGAUUUACAUUUUAUAAUAAACUUUGCCUGUGGAAA